CUACUAUACAUGCAAGUCGAGCGGACUUGAGGAGAAGCUUGCUUCUCUGACGGUUAGCGGCGGACGGGUGAGUAACACGUAGGCAACCUGCCUUUCAGUCUGGGAUAACUUCCGGAAACGGAUGCUAAUACCGGAUACAUCGUUUCUCCGCAUGGAGAGAUGAGGAAAGACGGCGCACGCUGUCACUGAGAGAUGGGCCUGCGGCGCAUUAGCUAGUUGGUGGGGUAAUGGCUCACCAAGGCGACGAUGCGUAGCCCACCUGAGAGGGUGAACGGCCACACUGGGACUGAGACACGGCCCAGACUCCUACGGGAGGCAGCAGUAGGGAAUCUUCCACAAUGGGCGAAAGCCUGAUGGAGCAAUGCCGCGUGAGUGAUGAAGGUUUUCGGAUCGUAAAGCUCUGUUGCCAGGGAAGAACGUCCGGGUGAGUAACUGCACCCGGAGUGACGGUACCUGAGAAGAAAGCCCCGGCUAACUACGUGCCAGCAGCCGCGGUAAUACGUAGGGGGCAAGCGUUGUCCGGAAUUAUUGGGCGUAAAGCGCGUGCAGGCGGCGGAUUAAGUCAGAUGUUUAAGAUCGGGGCUCAACCCCGAUUCGCAUCCGAAACUGGUCCGCUUGAGUGUAAGAGAGGAAAGUGGAAUUCCACGUGUA
rnacentral:rRNA from 1 species